UUGCCUACGGGGGGCUGCAGUGAGGAAUAUUGGGCAAUGGGCGAAAGCCUGACCCAGCAACGCCGCGUGGAGGAAGACGGCCCUUGGGUUGUAAACUCCUUUUGACGGGGAAGAGGAAGGACGGUACCCGUCGAAUAAGUCACGGCUAACUACGUGCCAGCAGCCGCGGUAAUACGUAGGUGACAAGCGUUAUCCGGAUUUACUGGGCGUAAAGCGCACGCAGGCGGCUGAUUAAGUCUGACGUGAAAUCUCCUGGCUUAACUGGGAGGGGUCGUUGGAAACUGGUUGGCUUGAGGUGGUGAGAGGGGUGUGGAAUUCCCGGUGUAGUGGUGGAAUGCGUAGAUAUCGGGAGGAACACCAGUGGCGAAAGCGGCACCCUGGCACUGACCUGACGCUCAUGUGCGAAAGCGUGGGGAGCAAACGGGAUUAGAUACCCCAGUAGUC
rnacentral:rRNA from 1 species